CAGAAAACAGUAUCAGAUCUCAAAAACUCAAAAGCCUUCUCUCCAUUUUCCUCUGACCCCAUUUUUCUCCGCUCUCUCUCUCUCUUCUUCAUUGCUCCAGAAAAUGCAAAAACCUUCUCCCUUCCAUUUAGUUUCUUUUUCGCAUUUCUCUCGGAUCCCAUGUAUGGUGGAGCAACACAGGCAUGUCUGAUUCCUCUAUAAUAGUGCUCUGGUCCGCAACACCGAGACCCAAACGAACAGAUCUAAAACAGUUCGUCCAAAAAUCCUCCCUUUGCAGUUUCUCACAGAUUGAUGCAUCCGUAGCCUUCCAUAACCCAACAACGCGCACCUCCGUGAGUACCCCGCCGUGGUGGAAAAUCGGAAAAACGGAAACCCAAAGUGGGAAGAUCCCUAAUGGUUUCAAAUCCGAGACAACCACACAAGAACACCCCGGAGUCAGCAGCUCAGCUCAACCAAGGAUCUGCCAAUGUUGAGCGUACAACCGAGAGACAACAACCGUGAGCUUCCGGUCUAGUGGUUCCUGAAGGCAGCAUAAAUGAAGAAUGUCUCGGCUCUGCAAAUAAAUAAGGGAUAUACGGAUCAAUGAUAGAGCCAAGGAAAUAGAAGGGUAGACAAAUAUCAGCUUCAAUAAACAAACAGCACAAGCUUCCAAGAGCCCAGAUCGGUAAAUCUGGGAGGUAAAAUUUCAUAUCCUUGCAAGUGGAAUUGUUGUAGAUCUGGUAAUAAUAGCUGUACUCAGUUCUGUGGUGUAUGGAUCUAUGAUAUAAUUGUGCUUCCUCCAUGCAUCGCAAAACUGAGCUGCAGAAAAUUAAUUGCUCUAAAUUCUGUUUCUGUGCUGGAUCUGCAACAAUCUCCCCCAAACUUGAAUCUGUGAAUGACUUUUUAUGUUGACUGCUUUAAAUUUCCUGCCUAGUGUAGAUGUGGUUGAUGUGAACGUUAGACUUGCUGCUGGGUGCAGGAUUCCAGCAUAGGACACGCUUUAUUUUCCACGUUCGCAACCUGCAAUUAACCAAUAUGCGUAAAAAAAUUAAAAUAAAAUCAAAUAAACUGGGUAAAUAAAAUCAAUAUGCAAUCUUCCAUUUUUU